rnacentral:rRNA from 1 species
CAGCAGCCGCGGGAAUACGAAGGGGGCUAGCGUUGUUCGGAAUUACUGGGCGUAAGGCGCACGUAGGCGGAUAUUUAAGUCAGGGGUGAAAUCCCGCAGCUCAACUGCGGAACUGCCUUUGAUACUGGGUAUCUUGAGUAUGGAAGAGGUUAGUGGAAUUGCGAGUGUAGAGGUGAAAUUCGUAGAUAUUCGCAGGAACACCAGUGGCGAAGGCGGCUAACUGGUCCAUAACUGACGCUGAGGUGCGAAAGCGUGGGGAGCAAACAGGAUUAGAUACCCGCGUAGUCCCUGUCUCUUAUAC